UUUUACAGUGGUUCUAGAGUGAGAGAAAUAGGAUAAAUUUCCCUUGUUCAGGAAAAGGCAGAGGCAAGGAUUAACUUAAAGAUGCUUAAGAAUAAUGUUUCUGACCAUAAGCUGAACAUGGAAGCCCUAAUUAAAAACAUUAACACAGUUUCUUUGGAGUUGAAGAAGAUGAAAGAUUUGCAUCACAAGCAAAUGCCUACAGCAACCACUGCUAAAGGGAAUGGGACUGCCAAGACCAGUUUGGACCAGUCAGAAUUUACUGCUGGAGCUGGGGAGAAGAGCACCUCAAAUGGAAUCAAGUUGUGCCACCAAGAAGAAGAGGGGAGUGGCUGUUAGUUAGGUACCAAAUAAGCUCUCCCAGUUACUCCUUUGUGACCUUACUCUACAUUUUAAUCAUCCUGUGAAGACAGAGGAUUUACCUGAAACAGAGAAGAACGA